UGGCGGACGGGUAAGUAAUGUCUGGGAAACUGCCUGAUGAGGGGGAGUAACUACUGGAAACGGUAGCUAAUACCGCAUAACGUCGCAAGACCAAAGAGGGGGACCUUCGGGCCUCUUGCCAUCGGAUGUGCCCAGAUGGGAUUAGCUAGUAGGUGGGGUAACGGCUCACCUAGGCGACGAUCCCUAGCUGGUCUGAGAGGAUGACCAGCCACACUGGAACUGAGACACGGUCCAGACUCCUACGGGAGGCAGCAUG
rnacentral:rRNA from 1 species